UGUUGAAAAAUUAGCGGAUGACUUGUGGCUAGGGGUGAAAGGCCAAUCAAACCUGGAGAUAGCUGGUUCUCCCCGAAAGCUAUUUAGGUAGCGCCUCGGACGAAUACUACUGGGGGUAGAGCACUGUUAAGGCUAGGGGGGCAUCCCGACUUACCAACCCUUUGCAAACUCCGAAUACCAGUAAGUACUAUCCGGGAGACACACGGCGGGUGCUAACGUCCGUCGUGGAGAGGGAAACAACCCAGACCGCCAGCUAAGGUCCCAAAGUAUAGCUAAGUGGG
rnacentral:rRNA from 1 species